CCACUUGACCUGGUUCACAUUAAGAUAUACAUCCCCACUUGACCUGGUUCACAUUAAGAUAUACAUCCCCCACUUGACCUGGUUCACAUUAAGAUAUACAUCCCCCACUUGACCUGGUUCACAUUAAGAUAUACAUUGCCCACUUGACCUGGUUCACAUUACGAUAUACAUCCCCCACUUGACCUGGUUCACAUUAAGAUAUACAUUGGUAUUCCCAUCUGUUUAAUAGUCAGUAGCUGUACUAGGUAUAGCUCCACCUGUGAAGGGUACCAGUACUUGUUCAAGGUAUAACCCCAUCCUUUUACUGUUAAUAUACCAGGUAUAGCCCUAUCUGUUAACUGUAACUGUACCACAUAAGCCCCAUCUGAGAAGUAUACUUGUUUCUGUUACAGCUCCACCUGUUAACUGUUAGUGUACCAGGUAUAGCCCCAUAUACUUUUUCUGUACCAGGUAUAGCCCCAUUUCUUGACUGUUACCAAAAAGGUAUAAUCCCACCUAUGAAGUUGACCAUUCAAAGUAUCAAGUGUAUCAAGUAUAGCCCCAUGUGGUAACUGUUCCUAUCCCUCGUAAAGAGCCACCAGAUUUCCCGCAACGGGUAUUUCAUAAUAACUGAUGUUACAUCCAUGUCUUGCUGCCAAAGUCAGGACACUAACUUGUGUGCUCUUUUUAUACCAUAGGAACUGUAAAUAUUGUUAUUUUUACUGAUGUGAAUUUUGUUCAUAAUUUUUUUGCUUUACAAUGUAAAUUUUUUAAAAUUAUGCAAAUUUCAAGUGCUGAGAAAGCUCUGCGAAUUUUGUUUGAUUUGAGAAAUUGACUUGGAUUGUUCAAAACAGUUCAUAUGUGUAUGAUAUACAUUGCUUCCUUUGCUUGGAAGCCCAGAGUUAUUUAAUAUUUAUAUAUUUAAGAUCUGUAGUUUCUAGACCAUGCGAGAUGAUUUUGCUCAAGUUACCAAACCAUGGUAUCAAAGUCCAAAUUUCUUACUACAAGCUACUGGGUAUUGUUCUCCUUUCAUGGACGAUGUAGGAGGUAUCUUGUCAUGUGGCAUAGUAGGCCCUAGAAACAGUCGACAUCAUUCAGUCUUCACACUGAUUGGUCAGUUCUAGUCACAUGUUCAUCUCAUUGUUUCAUUUUUUUUGUAAAUUCUCUUUAAUCUGUGUAUAAUUUGUGUAAAUUUAGGAAACGUUUCACAGUUCAUUAUGUUUUUGUUAACUUGAGGACUGCCUCCUGCAACCCUCUUAGAGACAGUGUGAUGUAUGGGACUUGUUAAAGUGUAGAAAUCAUCAUUGCAUAGUGAUCUGUGCUUUUUUUAAAAUAAUACAUGCCAAAUUCGACCUACAUAACAGUGAUGACAACAGCCCAAUGUAGUGGUCUAUGGCCGCAGUGACCAGUAAACAAUAACCCAUGUAUGUGUGUAAUCAGUCCAUAGAGUAGUUAUCACAUCUCAUGUAGAGUUCAUCUGUUUUCUUGUCUUGAUGAAUUUCAAGGUGAUCCAAGAGGUGAGUGUUCCCUGUGUACUCCUGCUGACAACUCACUCACUCACUCACUGUGUGCCCUCACAGCUAACUAGCUACCUGGGAAAAUGUACAUUCAGUAUUCUUUACAUUCAGUCCAGUUUAUUCUCACAGAUUAAUUUUAUCAAUAUUAUGCCGUAAUUGUGCAUGUUUUAUGGCAAAUAUUUGGUUUUUUACCUGAACAGUGAGCAACUGUUAAUGUGGAAAAGCUGCAGGUGGCUGAUAAUGUAAAUAUUGAGAAAUGGGUCUCUGUAGCCUACGUUCUUCACACAAGUCAGAUCUCCUGGCUAUUGACACCAAUCAUGGGUGGCCAUGUGGUGAGUGAGUGAGUGAGUGAGUGAGUGAGUUGAGCCUCCAGCCUUCUCUGUGUUGAGAUGCUAUGUUAUCAGUGAGGACAGUUUGGCAUGUGUGAUUUUAACAGCAACUUGACACUCAUUCAUCUAUCUGUUCUUACAUCUUCAAAUUGUUUAGUUCUUAGCAUGAAGACUUGGAAAAUUCUCGCAACAAUAGAUCCUAUAUUUGCAUAUGCGAAUUACAUGAAUGUAUGUCUCUUAGAUGUCAACAAUUAUAAUUGGCAGAAAAUAAACUUAUUGACCAAUUGAA
rnacentral:lncRNA from 1 species